GGGCCCGCACAAGCAGUGGAUUAUGUGGAUUAAUUCGACGCAACGCGAAGAACCUUACCAGGGCUUGACAUGUAACCCCUAACGAAGCAGAGAUGCAUAAGGUGCCCUUCGGGGAAAGUUAACACAGGUGGUGCAUGGUUGUCGUCAGCUCGUGUCGUGAGAUGUUGGGUUAAGUCCCGCAACGAGCGCAACCCUUAUUGCUAGUUGCUACGCGAGAGCACUCUAGCGAGACUGCCGUUGACAAAACGGAGGAAGGCGGGGACGAUGUCAAAUCAUCAUGCCCCUUAUGUCCUGGGCUUCACACGUAAUACAAUGGCGCAAUAACAGAGGGAAGCGAAGGCGCGAGCCGGAGCAAAUCCCCAAAAGGCGUCUCAGUUCGGAUUGCAGGCUGCAACUCGCCUGCAUGAAGUCGGAAUUGCUAGUAAUCGCGGAUCAGCAUGCCG
rnacentral:rRNA from 1 species